UCCGGUUCAUCACCGGCAGUCUCCUUAGAGUCCCCAACUUAAUGCUGGUAACUAAGGACAAGGGUUGCGCUCGUUACGGGACUUAACCCAACAUCUCACAACACGAGCUGACGACAGCCAUGCAGCACCUGUCUCUAGGUUCCUUUCGGCACUCCCGCAUCUCUGCAGGAUUCCUAGGAUGUCAAGGGUAGGUAAGGUUCUUCGCGUUGCAUCGAAUUAAACCACAUGCUCCACCGCUUGUGCGGGCCCCCGUCAAUUCCUUUGAGUUUCAACCUUGCGGCCGUACUUCCCAGGCGGAAGACUUAUCGCGUUAGCUUCAAUACCGAUGGGUUCCCCCACCAACAUUUAGUCCUCAUCGUUUACAGCGUGGACUAC
rnacentral:misc_RNA from 1 species